CGUGAGGCUUUUGUCCCCCUCCCACCCACCCACCACCGGCCCAGGGCCUGGCAUUCAGCAGGCACGCAGGGGACCUGCUGACUGAAUGUGCAGACAAAUGAAUAGUUGAGAGAAACAUUGGCAGCAGAGACGCAGUGAGUGGGUCAGGCCUAAUGUUUCCUCACUCCUGCGUGGAUUUUCCAGAACCUUGAGUUCCAUUCCAGGGUCAGGCACGGGACACUAACUGCUCCCCGAGCCCAGCAACAGAGCAGCCCAGCCCAGAUCCAAGCACACAGUCGGUCUCACUGAAGUCGUGCUCUCGACAAGCUUGCAGCCCUGCAUAGCUGGCCCUCCGAGGUCCCUCGAGACUGGUUCCAAGUGACAGGAACUGGCAAUAAGCCUCCACCAGGAUGAAGUUUUGGAAUAUAGAUAUGCCACAAGAAGGGUAUUGUCACCCCCGAGAUACAGACGAAGACUGAAGCUCCGAGCGCCUAACAGGCUUCCCCAGGGAAUGGCUGAGGGCCGGGCCAGGUCCCCGGGGAGUCAUCCUGGGGACCCCAGCUCUCUGCUCCCAGCAGGGACGGCUGGCAGGGCCGUGGCCCUGGCUCGGGGAACCUACGCAGAGGCCCAAGCUCUGUUCAGAGCAGAGUUUAUUCAAACAGAGCCUAACAGGAAACUUG